GAUGAACGCUGGCGGUGUGCCUAAUACAUGCAAGUCGAGCGAACAGACGAGGAGCUUACUCCUCUGACGUUAGCGGCGGACGGGUGAGUAACACGUGGAUAACCUACCUAUAAGACUGGGAUAACUUCGGGAAACCGGAGCUAAUACCGGAUAACAUGUUGAACCGCAUGGUUCAACAGUGAAAGACGGUCUUGCUGUCACUUAUAGAUGGAUCCGCGUCGCAUUAGCUAGUUGGUAAGGUAACGGCUUACCAAGGCAACGAUGCGUAGCCGACCUGAGAGGGUGAUCGGCCACACUGGAACUGAGACACGGUCCAGACUCCUACGGGAGGCAGCAGUAGGGAAUCUUCCGCAAUGGGCGAAAGCCUGACGGAGCAACGCCGCGUGAGUGAAGAAGGUCUUCGGAUCGUAAAACUCUGUUAGUAGGGAAGAACAAAUGUGUAAGUAACUAUGCACGUCUUGACGGUACCUAAUCAGAAAGCCACGGCUAACUACGUG
rnacentral:rRNA from 1 species